AAUAUUGGUCAAUGGACGCAAGUCUGAACCAGCCACGUCGCGUGAAGGAAGACGGCCCUACGGGUUGUAAACUUCUUUUGUAAGGGAAUAAAGUCACUCACGUCUGACUUUUUGCAUGUACCUUACGAAUAAGGAUUGGCUACCUCCUUGCCAGCAGCCGCGGUAAUCCGGAGGAUCCACGCGUUAUCCGGAUUUAUUGGGUUUAAAGGCUGCGCAGGCGGAAGAUUAAGUCAGCGGUGAAAUUUUGCAGCUCAACUGUAAAAGUGCCAUCGAUACUGGUUUUCUUGAGUGUGGAUGAAGUAGGCGGAAUUUGUGGUGUAGCGGUGAAAUGCAUAGAUAUCACGAGGAACUCCGAUUGCGCAGGCAGCUUACUAGGCCAUAACUGACGCUCAGGCACGAAGGCGUGGGGAUCAAACAGG
rnacentral:rRNA from 1 species